AGCCAUUCCUCAGGCCCGCCGACGAGUUGCUGUAGUCCCAGUGGUUUCCCCCCGGCGCCGCCGCUUCGGCCGUGAGAGUCAACGUUUCCCGGAGUGCGCGCGAGCAGCGACGAGGCUCCACCGGCCCGCGCGACACACCCACCGCGAGGCAGGGGCGAGGAACACCGGACGACCCCCCCCCAAAAGAACCGCGGGACGGGGGACAGAGGAGAACUACCGCGGCCGGCCGGAGACGCUUGUUGUCGAGUUCAAAAGCUCUAAAGCUGCCCGACUUCCACCGGAAAGUUAGCGGCAGCAAAACAACGGAACUUCCGGUAUAACACAAAUUCUAAAUAAAAUAUAUAAAAGAC